CGCCUCUCGUAACCUAAAAAUGAGAGGUCCCGCCUGCCCUGUGACUCUAAGUUUAACGGCCGCGGUAUCCUGACCGUGCAAAGGUAGCGCAAUCACUUGUCUCUUAAAUAGAGACCUGUAUGAAUGGCAUAACGAGGGCUUGACUGUCUCCUUUCUCAAGUCAAUGAAAUUGAUCUUCCCGUGCAGAAGCGGGAAUAACCACAUAAGACGAGAAGACCCUAUGGAGCUUUAGACGUAAGAACAGACCCUGCUGAAUAACCCUACAAAGGAGAAUUAAGGUAUAGGACCUCCCUGCUCAGCGUCUUUGGUUGGGGCGACCGCGGAGAAAAAUCAAACCUCCGUGUGGGCCGGGAGUGUUUUACCUUCCUCCUAAAACCGAGAGCUACAGCUCUAAGCAACAAAAAUCUUGACCAAUCAGAUCCGGCAGAGCCGAUCAGCGGACCGAGUUACCCUAGGGAUAACAGCGCAAUCCUCUUCUAGAGCCCAUAUCGACAAGAGGGUUUACGACCUCGAUGUUGGAUCAGGACAUCCUGAUGGUGCAGCCGCUAUCAAGGGUUCGUUUGUUCAACGAUUAAAGUCCU
rnacentral:rRNA from 1 species